CUCUCUCCCCGCGGGGUCCCGGGGACCGUCCCACCCUGACUCCCUGGGCCGCGCGAGGGUUGCCCCCUCUGGGUAGAGCGUCCCCGCUCCGGGUAUCCGGGAGGCAGGGGGGCGGCGCGGCUGGAGGAGGCGGGGAGGGGAAGGGGGCCGCAGGGCUGGCCAGCUACUGACGCAGCGCACCGUGCUGGGGGCUUGGCAUCCGCUCGGUCACAAGCCUGGCUCGAAAGGGGGUAACGGCUCAGAAAGGAAUUCUUGCCUUCUGGAAAGAGUGGUGUCAUUGAGGAAUUCCCCAGCUGGGCACCGGCUUCCCUUUUACUUCUUGCUAGAGCCUCUGCCCCUUCCAACCUUUUGUUUGCCUCUGCCCUUGGUCUCUCUCCCCCAAUGUGUGGAUUCCUGCUCCCCGUACCAGCUGGGCAAAGAUCUCUGAGGGCUGCAUAGACGGCCAGGGGACGACAGCCAGUGGGGCAGGUGCUGCUUUUAUCCCGUCUGGAGAGAUGAGGAAACCUCCCCAAGAGGCCAGACACUUCCAGAGAAGGCCAGCCAAGGAUUCCACCCUCAGCAGGAAAUGAGCAUCAGACGCUGGUUGGGGGUGUUCCUGCCAGCUGCUGUCCCAGUGGCCACCUCCCUGAGGGAUGGGUAGGGGAGAGCAGGCCAGCUCCGCCCGGAAGAGAGGGGUGGACAGCAGGCAGAGCAGAGUGGCAUCAGACCCCUCCAGCCCAGCCCGGAAGUCAAGUGUAUCAGCUCCCGGCCAGCAGUAGCGGUCAGCUCCUCACCGGCAGCCCAGGGCUCAGAAGCCCAGGACAAAGUGAGUCGGCCUCCCUUCCCUCUGCUCAGAAAUGACAGCUGGUUGGUUUUCAAAGUUGUGAUGAAGCACGCAUAACGUAAUUUCCCAUUGUGACCAUCUUAAGUAUACAGGUCGGUGGUGUGUACGUUAUUAUGCAAUAUUAUUAUUACUUCACCACCAUCCCUCUCCAGAACAUUUUUCACCUUGCAAGAAUGAAAUUCUGUACUUCUUAAACGUUAACUCCCCAUUUCUUCUU